UGGACAUUUGUUUUGGCGGUCUCUUCUUGCUUUAAAGAUAGCUUCUUGUGAAUGCUUGGAGAAAUAUAGUGGCUCAAUGUUCAUCUUUUGCAAGAAGAAAGGAUGGAUCUUUUGUUUUAAAAACA
rnacentral:snoRNA from 1 species